GAUGAACGCUGGCGGCGUGCCUAAUACAUGCAAGUCGAGCGAACAGACGAGGAGCUUGCUCUUCUGACGUUAGCGGCGGACGGGUGAGUAACACGUGGAUAACCUACCUAUAAGACUGGGAUAACUUCGGGAAACCGGAGCUAAUACCGGAUAAUAUAUUGAACCGCAUGGUUCAAUAGUGAAAGACGGUUUUGCUGUCACUUAUAGAUGGAUCCGCGCCGCAUUAGCUAGUUGGUAAGGUAACGGCUUACCAAGGCAACGAUGCGUAGCCGACCUGAGAGGGUGAUCGGCCACACUGGAACUGAGACACGGUCCAGACUCCUACGGGAGGCAGCAGUAGGGAAUCUUCCGCAAUGGGCGAAAGCUUGACGGAGCAACGCCGCGUGAGCGAUGAAGGUCUUCGGAUCGUAAAACUCUGUUAUUAGGGAAGAACAAAUGUGUAAGUAACUAUGCACGUCUUGACGGUACCUAAUCAGAAAGCCACGGCUAACUACGUG
rnacentral:rRNA from 1 species